rnacentral:rRNA from 1 species
GAUUUCUGGGCUCAAGAGUUUGGCCGGCCACGGUUUCGUGUGUUAGUGCUUUGCUCUGUGUCCAUCCUUCCAAUCGCUAUUGGCUAUUCUUCAUUGAUUGGUCAGUAGUAUUGGAUCUUUUACUUUGAAAAAAUUAGAGUGUUUCAAGCAGGCAUGUUUUGCUAUGAAUACAUUAGCAUGGAAUAAUAAUCUAGGACUUUCGGUUCUAUUUUGUUGGUGUUCUGGAGCUGAAGUAAUGAUUGAUAGGGAUAGUUGGGGGUGCUAGUAUUCAAUGGCCAGAGGUGAAAUUCUCGGAUUCCUUGAAGACUAACUUAUGCGAAAGCAUU